ACAAGUUGUGAUUUGCGAAAGCAGGAAGUGGCACCGGAGCCAUACAGAGAAAUCACCAAGAUGAAGGAGAGCAAAACGUUCAUUAGGUGGCAGAUAUAUAUUUGCAAGGCCAUUUUCAAGAAGAAUAUUUAAAGAGAAAUUAAAUCUUGUGAGAUGAGGUCGACCGAUCCUGGAAGCGAGCUAAGCUGAAAUGGUCUGUCUGCCACUUCCACUCGAAUCAACCAACCACGAGCGGUACCACUGGCUUAUACGGCAUCGGAUGGGUGCUACAUAUUGUCGUUCAUUUCUGCUCGCAGCCCACGAUUCUCCACCUCCAGCUCUACGAUGCGGCGACUCAGAAGCAUCGCCUCCUCUUCCACCAGUUUCAAGUGAACUUUGACCUCCGCUUCCCUGGCAUGGGCGGACCUUUGUUUGCCUUCAGAUGACUGGGCGCCCUCUAUGUCACCGUACACUGAAUGGUACCUGGCCAGCUGCUCGUGCAUGGCCUCACUCUCUGAUACCAACUUGGAUCAAACUAGCAGCUGUCCCCAAUGAAGGGACUAGACUGAGCACAGAAUCCUGGAUUAAACUAGACAUGUGCCAUCAGAGCGUACUCUCACCGACAACAAGGACAGAAGAAAACUGAAGGCUGACACUAUGAGGGGCUGAAGUGGAGGACGUCAGCUUUGCUCUGAGUACAGACUUCAGCAUACCAGGCGGCUGCACCCCAUCAAGACACCGGGCAGCUGCUAGCCCUGCCCUCCGCUCAUAUCAGGGUGUCGUCUGACGUCCUUGGGUUGAGGGGGACAGCUGGCUGGGAUAGGCACAGCUGGGAGGGGUCACCAUGAUGGACAUGCGAGUUGACCAUUCUUAAUGGUGACAUAUUUGGAUCCAACACACUUAUUUAGUUAAAAAGUCGCACCUCUCUGGCUUUUUCCAACUCAGCCUGCAAGACGUGCUUGGCCACAUCCAGCUCCUGUGUCUUCUCUCGUAGCAUUUCAUUCUCCCAAUCCAAGUGACUGUUCUUCUUCUGCACGCCCUCCAGCUCAGUAUAGAGCCGCAUCGACACACUCUUGGCAACCUGAAAGCAAAGCCAAUGACAGAAUGUUUUGCGCUCGCAUUUAUCACUUGUGUAAAAUAUUACAGGAGUUUAAAACAUAUUUAAAACAUUUCCUUGUGGACUAGAUAAUAUGUAUUGGAUAUGCUUUGGUGUAAAUUUCGCGUGUAAGUAACUUUUUUAACCCAUUUUUGAGUCUGUCAUAUGUUCAAUUCUGGAGAUGUUACCAGAUAGCAAACGAUACCACGCUCCACCCUCUCCAAAAGUAUUAUCUUUUGAAAUGUACACUGUUUAAAUGUAUACCUUGAAGUCGUCGCAGCUACUUUUUUUUCCUUCUUCAUAAAUAAUAAACACAUUG